rnacentral:lncRNA from 1 species
ACAGAACAAGCAAAAUAUUUACAUCACUGAGAGCCAUAUAGACAGCACAAUUUUACUAUUUUUUUUCCCUCAAUAGGAUCGAUAUGAAUGCACUGAUUCUGGGUUCAAGUCGCUGGAGAAUAAAAGGAAGCCUCUGUUUUUCUAAGAACUGGGAAAUUUGAGGAAGCAUUUUGAUGGGAAGUAUUCUGAAUCAGACACACUGUUUAUUGAUGAUCAACCUUACAAGGACCUUCUCAAUCCUGUAAUUUCAUCACAACUCUGCCCCUUAUCUUUUUUUUAUUGUGCUUUUUUUUUCAAUAAUCUUUCUAAUUAUUUUUUAUUUGAUUCAUGUGAACAACCUACACAGGGAUAUUUUUGGAGUCAUAUAAUGUUGACAAUGAUGAUGACAAGGCAUUAGGUAAUGUUGGAGAGAAAUAUGGUGCAUGUAAAAGUUAAUUUCUAUUAGUUACUUAAUCUAAAAGCUGUUUUUUUAUUUUUGGAUUUUCACCUGUGUUAGGCCUUCUCCAACAAAAAAUGUACUUGAUGCCUCUUUUUACCAAAUUUAAGGGGACAAAAUAGUCAUGAAAAAUGUGCAUUUAAUGUUGGCCUAUUUUACCAAACUUUCCUAUGGGAGAGGGAAAAUGAAAUCCAAAGGGAGAGGAGGGUUUCAUUUUCCCCCUUAUUUUUCUUUGUGUCAAGCAACUAUUUUUCAUGCUUGGAUUUACCAACCAUGUGAAAGCAAUUGAUUUCCCGUCCCCAAGCCUCUUUUUCCAUGAACUAAACGCAACCUUCGAGUACUUUAUAAUGCUUGAACUGGUAAGCCAUAUCUGCAAAACUCUCUUUAUCAGUAUUUUCACACUCACUUAUUUUAUCUUUCAUUUUUCAGAUUAGGCUAGUGAAUUUGGGCUCUUCAAACCAUUUAUUUUUAUAAAAAUAUUGGGCGUUGUGUUUUUG